rnacentral:rRNA from 1 species
AUUGAACGCUGGCGGCAGGCCUAACACAUGCAAGUCGAGCGGAUGAAGAGAGCUUGCUCUCUGAUUUAGCGGCGGACGGGUGAGUAAUGCCUAGGAAUCUGCCUGGUAGUGGGGGAUAACGUCCGGAAACGGGCGCUAAUACCGCAUACGUCCUACGGGAGAAAGCAGGGGACCUUCGGGCCUUGCGCUGUCAGAUGAGCCUAGGUCGGAUUAGCUAGUUGGUGAGGUAAUGGCUCCCCAAGGCUACGAUCCGUAACUGGUCUGAGAGGAUGAUCAGUCACACUGGAACUGAGACACGGUCCAGACUCCUACGGGAGGCAGCAGUGGGGAAUAUUGGACAAUAGGUGAAAGCCUGAUCCAGCCAUGCCGCGUGUGUGAAGAAGGUCUUCGGAUUGUAAAGCACUUUAAGUUGGGAGGAAGGGCAGUAAGUUAAUACCUUGCUGUUUUGACGUUACCGACAGAAUAAGCACCGGCUAACUUCGUGCCAGCAGCCGCCGUAAAAC